AGUGAACGCUGGCGGUAGGCCUAACACAUGCAAGUCGAACGGCAGCGCAGUAAGAGCAUGCUCUUACGGGUGGCGAGUGGCGGACGGGUGAGGAAUACAUCGGAAUCUACUUUUUCGUGGGGGAUAACGUAGGGAAACUUACGCUAAUACCGCAUACGACCUACGGGUGAAAGCAGGGGAUCUUCGGACCUUGCGCGAUUGAAUGAGCCGAUGUCGGAUUAGCUAGUUGGCGGGGUAAAGGCCCACCAAGGCGACGAUCCGUAGCUGGUCUGAGAGGAUGAUCAGCCACACUGGAACUGAGACACGGUCCAGACUCCUACGGGAGGCAGCAGUGGGGAAUAUUGGACAAUGGGCGCAAGCCUGAUCCAGCCAUACCGCGUGGGUGAAGAAGGCCUUCGGGUUGUAAAGCCCUUUUGUUGGGAAAGAAAAGCAGCAGGUUAAUACCCCGCUGUUCUGACGGUACCCAAAGAAUAAGCACCGGCUAACUUCGUG
rnacentral:rRNA from 1 species